rnacentral:rRNA from 1 species
UACGAAGGGGGCUAGCGUUGUUCGGAAUUACUGGGCGUAAAGAGUAUGUAGGCGGAUAUCUAAGCUAGAGGUGAAAGCCCAAGGCUUAACCUUGGAACUGCCUUUAGAACUGGAUAUCUGGAGUUUUGGAGGGGAGUGCGGAAUUUCUAAUGUAGAGGUGAAAUUCGUAGAUAUUAGAAGGAACACCGGCGGCGAAGGCGGCACUCUGGACAAAUACUGACGCUGAGAUACGAAAGCGUGGGGAGCAAACAGG